GAAACUCAGCGAGGCUUAGUAGUCUCACCCCACGAUUAUUUGAUUAUAGGUAACAGGUUGUUCGUUCAAGAAGUUUAAGGAUUGGACGAAUAAGCAAGGCUAAUGGAAGUCUUUUCGAUGUUUACCUGAUUCCAGCGUAAGAAAUUCUUGUAUAGGAUAAUGUCACGUAUACAUGUAUUUAUCAGUUAUCUUGGCUCUGAUGUAAAGUUGUUAACAAUUACAUUAUGACAGUUGAUUCAGUUUAAUUAAAUCAUGUAUAUUGGGUAUUUCCUUCGGACUACUUGUGUAAAAGAUUAGUUUUAUUUACGCAAUUUAAAUUUUUCCCGAUUCAGUUAUGUGUGCUCCUAUUGAUAUUAUAGAUAAAUCAAUAUGGAGUGUUAUAGAGACCCUAUUAGCCUAGAUGAUAUCGUUUCCAGUUUUCCCGGUAGAAGUACUCAGAUUCAUG
rnacentral:lncRNA from 1 species